rnacentral:rRNA from 1 species
UACGGAGAGUGCAAACGUUGUUCGGAUUCACUGGGCGUAAAGGGCACGUAGGCGGCUCGGCAAAUCGGUCGUGGAAUCCCGACGCUUAACGUUGGAACGGCGAUCGAAAAUACCGGGCUCGAGGGCGUGAGGGGUCACUGGAACUCCUGGUGAAGCGGUGAAAUGCGUAGAUAUCAGGAGGAACGCCGGAGGCGAAAGCGAGUGACUGGCGCGUUCCUGACGCUGAGGUGCGAAAGCUAGGGGAGCAAACAGG